rnacentral:rRNA from 1 species
ACGAACGCUGGCGGCGUGCUUAACACCUGCAAGUCGAACGGAAAGGCCCCUUUGGGGGUACUCGAGUGGCGAACGGGUGAGUAACACGUGAGUAACCUGCCCUUGACUUCGGGAUAACUUCAGGAAACUGGGGCUAAUACCGGAUAGGAAUCCUUGCUGCAUGGUGGGGGUUGGAAAGCUUCGGCGGUUUUGGAUGGACUCGCGGCUUAUCAGCUUGUUGGUGGGGUAGUGGCUUACCAAGGCUUUGACGGGUAGCCGGCCUGAGAGGGCGACCGGCCACAUUGGGACUGAGAUACGGCCCAGACUCCGACGGGAGGCAGCAGUGGGGAAUAUUGCACAAUGGGCGGAAGCCUGAUGCAGCAACGCCGCGUGCGGGAUGACGGCCUUCGGGUUGUAAACCGCUUUCAGCAGGGGCGAAGCUUGUGGUGACGGUACCUGCAGAAGAAGCACCGGCUAACUACGUG